UACGGAAGGUGCAAGCGUUAAUCGGAAUUACUGGGCGUAAAGCGCGCGUAGGCGGUUAGAUAAGUCGGGUGUGAAAGCCCUGGGCUCAACCUGGGAACUGCAUUCGAUACUGUCUGACUAGAGUGUGAUAGAGGGAGGCGGAAUUCCACAUGUAGCGGUGAAAUGCGUAGAGAUGUGGAGGAACACCAAUGGCGAAGGCAGCCUUCUGGAUCAACACUGACGCUGAGGUGCGAAAGCGUGGGGAGCAAACAGG
rnacentral:rRNA from 1 species